rnacentral:lncRNA from 1 species
AAAAGAAAAGAAAGAGAGAAUGAGAGAAUGAGUCCCUCAUAAAGUCCUCAGGACCGCCACAGAUCUCAUAGCAGAGGAGAUCAGACGAGGCUGCACUCAGCAGCUGCACCACAGCUGAGAGAGGGAGACACGGUACAGGCUGUACAGUUAGACAGAAUUAGAGGACAGCAUUUAACCUGACAUGAUGGAAGUGGUCCUAACCAGACUGCGGGACUUCUCCUGCAAAACAUCCACCUUUGAUGACCCUAAACUAGCAGAGCAGAGCUCCUGCAGGGACCCUCGGAGGAGGACUGACCACCUGGAGGAAGGCUGCACAGCUGGAGGAGGAGGAGGCAGCAAGCUGGACAUAGAGAGCUCAUUAGCCUGGCUGAGAAGAGAACUGAUGGAGAUGCGUUCCCAGGACCAAGCCCUGGUCCGGCAGCUGAUGGAGCUCCACUCCGGCAUCCAGGAGCUUAAGCAGGAGCUCUCCGAGGAGGAGCAAGAGGAAGAAACAGACGAGGAGGAAGAGGAGGGCAGCUGCUGGGACUCCGAGAGCGAACAAGGAAGCGGCAGCGUCUACUCCAGCUCAGGGGAAAUGGGCUUUUCCAUUUCCUGCCUAAAGACACCUGCUCGCUUUAAUUACUCAGCAGGUCUACGGAAGAGGGCGUUCUGCAGGAGAAGCUCAGUACCUUAAAAUGUAUUAGACAAGGUGGAGCACGAAGAACACAUUCUCCACUGUAGCCUGUAAAUGAGUGUUUCUUUUUAGUCUUGUUAGCUUACAAUUCAUAAAAUAUGACUUCUGUUUUCACAGCAAAAAAAUGUAAUACACUAUUGUGUCUGUAAUAUUGUUCUUAGUGGUAGAUGGAGGAAAUAUUCCUCCUUAUGAUGUUUGACCUUCCAUCGUCAUGACGUGGAGUGUGUUCAUGUACAAGCUCUGACCUGCUGCAUUAUAUAUUUGCAUGCGUUACAAAAAAAAACCUCCAGGGGUCAGAUGUAAACAAUCUUUAUAUCAAACGGCACAAAUAUUUUCAAAUGAAAGGCUAUGAAAAUCAUUUGCAGAACAUGUUUUUCAUGUGUGUUUAACUUGGAUUGUUUUACACAGUAUGAACAAAACUAGCAAUAUAUAGUUUCUACACAUCCAAAACAAAAUAAAUAAAAAUUAAGUCAAGCUGAAAUUUUCA